rnacentral:rRNA from 1 species
GUGGGGAAUAUUGGACAAUGGGCGAAAGCCUGAUCCAGCCAUGCCGCGUGUGUGAAGAAGGUCUUCGGAUUGUAAAGCACUUUAAGUUGGGAGGAAGGGCAGUAAGUUAAUACCUUGCUGUUUUGACGUUACCGACAGAAUAAGCACCGGCUAACUUCGUGCCAGCAGCCGCGGUAAUACGAAGGGUGCAAGCGUUAAUCGGAAUUACUGGGCGUAAAGCGCGCGUAGGUGGUUUUGUAAGUUGGAGGUGAAAUCCCCGGGCUAAACCUGGGAACUGCCUCCAAAACUGCAUGACUAGAGUACGGUAGAGGAUAGUGGAAUUUCCUGUGUAGCGGUGAAAUGCGUAGAUAUAGGAAGGAACACAGUGGCGAAGGCGACUACCUGGACUGAUACUGACACUGAGGUGCGAAAGCGUGGGGAGCAAACAGGAUUAGAAACCCUAGUAGUCC